rnacentral:lncRNA from 1 species
CGCGCCAAAAUGAGAUCUACGCCGGGCGGCGCCCUGUCAUGUGAUCUGGGUUCACUCCUCCAUGGGUGCCGCCAUGUUUAGUGCUGGCAACUGAAGGACAGAUAAUUAGCCCUUGACUUGUGCCCCACCCUUUAGAAUCGUGGCCUCGGUCCUUGACGCUAAAUCCAGCGCUCCCGGAGUUAGCAUUGCUCGCCGGCGUGGGGGCCCUCCACCCUGGAGGCUUUGAAAGGACUCCCAGGAGGCUUGGAGGCUUCCAGUGACUAUUCUUGUCUGUUCUUGAAUUUAACAGAAGUAGAAUCCUGCAAUAGGAUAGCCCUGCACCUCUGAGCUCAAGCRAUCCUUCUGCCUCAGCCUCCCCAGUAUCUGGGAACAUUAGGCGAGUUACCACCACAUCUCUUUUGGCCGGUGUUAAUGAAGUUUGUACAAGUACCUUUGUGAACAGRUUUUUCCGGAGUCAAAUUCCUAGGAGUAGAAAGGAUCUCAUUAAGUUGCUUAGAGCCUUCCUAAAUUGCUAA